AAAUCUCAUUAUCCAGUCUCAAACACUGUACCAAUAAGUAUACUUUUAAUAAGUAGAUGAUAGGUGCAAUGUGACCUAGUUCUUUUUAAUUCCUGUAUCUUAACACUGGUAUUCAGCAUUGCUAUUGGCUAAUGAGUUAGAUUCAUUGCCUGGUUCUGGCUUGGUUGAGAUGAGCCACUGGCAAUAUGACCAUUUGGAGAAGAUGGGAACAAGCAAAAGAGGCAACCAAUAUGCUGAGAUCACAAACUGCAACUGCCCAAGUCAAGGGGUGGGGUGGGCUGAUAUAUACAGAGGCCCUCCUGAUCAUUUGCCUUAACUUCACAUUUUAUUCUCCCCUGACAUAAAGGGGGGUGGGGUAGAAAAUGAGUCAAAUGGUACAAAGCCCUUCAAGAAGGCUUUCUGUAGAUCUUAUAGUCCACACUAUAGUACUAGAAAAUACUGAAAUUACUUUGAAUUUCAGAGUUAUACAUUUCAUACAAGGAAUUACUGAAGAAAAUCAUUGCUUCAGUAAUGAGGACUCCUGAUACAAAUGAGGGUUACCAACAAACUUCAAAUAUGGCACAGAGUAAAGAAAUGCCUGACCCUGAUGGCAAGGAAUAUAUUGAAAACUUAGGUGUUCCUCUGAGGCUUCUCCCCUGUGGAUCUUUACUAGAUAUUGUUAGGAAGUAGAAAGAGCUGUAUCAAGGAAUCAAAUCACAUCACAUACAAAAAAGCAUUGAUUCACUGGAGGUUUUCCAAGGCAAACGAUUUCCCUCCAAAUUCUGAGAUCCGUGGUCAAGCCUGGGCCACUGCCAGGAUAUGUAGGUGUCAAUAUGUGAUUUCUCAACACCUAUGGUGAAGCCAAAUCUGGAUCCACAGUUUCUCAUAUGCCAAAUUUAUAAAUGAAAGCCAGAGUAAGAGGCAUGGUUUGUAGAACCACCAAAUGGCACUCUGCAUGGACCGAAAGAGCUUUUAUAUUCUCUGAAAAGUGGAUACUAGUUUGUCAUCUGAAUUUAUAUAGGAUAUUUUCUUAACAGCUUAACAGAUCAGUAGUGAAUAUAAUCUUUUUAGACUUGAAAAGUGCUGUGACCUGGUGACAUUUCUGGAACUACUAGAACCAAGUUUCAUCAUCAGCAAAAUGGCAGUGUCCACCCUUAUAAAGUCAACAUUGGAUACAGAGAGAGAUUAAAAUGGCAGAGUACAGACCAGCAGCAAAUUACAGCCUUUUUGGGACCUAGAAUUGAGACAUCUACAAAAACAGAAACUUAGCGAAGAGAAAAAUAAAUAGCCCUUCAGGAAUCAAGUAAGAAAACUAGAAACCACAAAGAAACUAGUGAAACUGAGGACAACACAGAGAAAAGAACUAAGCAGUCUGGAAGACCAACUCCAGCUCCCGGGAAGGAGGUCCUGUGUCUGCAAGCACAAGAUCCUCACCCCACAGUGCAAAAAAAUAGAAACAUGAGAAAGUAAGGCAACAAGAUACCUCCAAAAACUCCUACCUACACAAAAGCUGAUCUCAGGAACCCUGAAGUAGAGGAAACUAUAAGCAAAAAACUCAAAACCCAAAUGGUUAAAAUGUUUGAAGAGAUAAAAAGAAGAAACAUACAGGUAUUCCUUGUUUAACAACCUACCUAUUAGGACUUACAACCCACCACUUGGACUUAUGAUCCAUGUCUUUUUGUACAGUUCUAUACAUCAUUAUAGAGCCUCAAUGGUUUUUUUUGUUGUACAGUACACCGUGUUUAUACAGCACUAUAAUUUUUGCUGAAUGUACUGCG
ensembl:lncRNA